UACGAGGAAGGUUAACACCAGCCAAGGAUUCAAGAACACUAGACUUGCCUGAUGACUGGUCUCCAACCACAACAAUUGUGGGGAGCUGUAUGCCUUCUUUCAUCACCAUGAGCAGCCUGAGCCUGUCGAUGACAUCAAGCAAAGGUCGGAUUUUGUCAUUGUAUGAUGAAAUAAUUGGGGCUUGAGCUGCUGCUGCUCCCACCACCUUAGGUUCUUCCAUAGGAGGAGUUGCUGGUUUAGAAUCUUCAUAAUCAUUGAUGACACCAAUGCUCCCCGAAUCAGCUUCAUCAUAGCUACCCAUUUUUUAGAAGUCGAGACAGGAUGGGAAUUGGCCAAACUUGAUGUUUUAGACGGUUUUUUUUUUUGUUGGAAUUUGGAAAGCAAUAAACUUGAACUAAAGUGAAGACAAAUUCAAUGAAGCAUGUUUGGCUUUAUAAUGAAAAUUAAAAUAGGGUAAAGCACCAAAAAUAGGAACAAUAAAGCGAUAGCAUCCUAUACCAAACCCCAAGAAACAAGCAAACGAAGCUACAAUGGGAAUGGAAAAUUUUAGGUUAUACUUUGAAUUGUAGAAAAUAAUGAUACAAGGACAGAAGAGAGGAAACAGAACAAAAUCAAAUCGUGACCGACCGAAAGUUGAGUGUGUCGAUGACAGAAAGUUCGAAACAUAAACAGCCCCACAAGUUCCUACAGGAACUAGACAGCAGAACUAUAUGAAACAAUGUAUUCACAUUGAAGUUUCGGAUAGAUGCCACGUACAAGCCAUGUUGCCAUUACCUCAUAUGCUCUUUGUGUCAAAUGAGUUCCAUCCCAACUAAGCUGUUCAUUAGGGUUUUCGCAUACCGGUACUUUUGGAUCUCCGCACCAACUUGAUAAGCCAGAAUUGUAGUCUCCCCCAAUUCCGCAGCAAGCUUUUUGCAAUGAUGUUGGAUCAAAACCAGUUGAGAUUUUUCGAAAACUCAGAACAUGACUAGAACCAUUCACAGUACGAUCACAUAAACUUAUGGAUGCAAAUAAAUCAGACUUACCAAGCAGAUCAGCUUUGCUCAAAAGCCACAGGAAUGCAUUGUAGUAGUCACCGUAGACAACGAUUACAUCUGGAUGUUUUUCUUUUAGCUGAUCAGCAAUAGCUUGUUGAAGAAGAUGAUUAUGAUAGAUUGAAAAAAAGCCUUGACUUCGUCCCUUUCGUAUACCUACUCUAAGACAAAAAAAAAUCAUUUUAUUAAUUAAGCUUUUUGUUUAUUAAUAAUUUGUUUUUUUUUUCAAAUUCAUUAAAUAUAAUUAAAAAUAUUUGGAAGAAAAAUCUAAUGGUAGACUAGAUAGUUAAGAUAAUAUCUGACAGAGAGAUCGAUGUUCGAGUAUUUGUUGAAGUUCCUACGUAACUUAUAACAAUUUUACAAACUGAUAGAGAUAAUAGUUUAUUCGAACAUUUAUUUUUAAUAGAGUGAAGAAACCCAAUUAUUUAAUUUAUGGGUAAACUACAUAAAGGGUAACACAACUAUAAAAAGUUACAAAAUGUUCAUCUAACUAUUCAAUAUUGUUUUUUUAGAUCACCCGGCUAACGGUGGCAACUUUUAAAUUUUGAAUAAUAGAAAUUUAACCCUCAACACUUAUAUAUUGUAUCAAUUUAGUCUUGAUUCUAAAAAAAAAAUUUAACUCUCAACAUUUACACAUUGUAUAAUUUGGUCUCUCUUUUUGUAAUUUUGCUUUUCUUUGUGACAUUUAGUGUUAAUUUUAAAAGAAUAAGAAAAGAAAAAAAAUUAUUAUCUUGGAUUUCUGGGUGCUCCUAUUUUUUAUAUAUUUUUAAUCAAAUUUAACUGAUAAAUUUAUUUUUAACUUUUUAAGUGAAAGGGUAAAGAAAAACAAAGUUGUACCAGAAAAAAGAAGAAGAUCAAACUACCCAAUGUAUAAAUGUUGAUAGUUAAUUAUUUCUGGAAUCAAGAUUAAAUUGACAUAAUUUAUAAAUAUUGAGGGUUAAAGUUGAUAUUAUGCGAAUAUUAAAAGUUGUCACCGAUGAUCAGUGACCAAAAAAAGACAAAACUGAAUAAUUUAAUGAUCAUUUUGUAACUCUUCAUAAUUUAGUACAAAAUUAAGUGAAUGUUAACGUGUUUGAGGCGAACCUCGAUGAACAUGUCAUGCAACGCAUAGCUAAAGGGGUAGAUAAGAGCUUUAGACCUCUUUUAGUUAAAUGGUAUCAUUAUGAUUAUAGUGCCUCUUAAAUGUCAAUUGUUCAAUUUAGUUCCUCUCUAGCUUUUAAUUAAAUGGAACAAUUGUAAUUUAGACCCUUUUCAAAUGUUUAAAUUUAAUUUGAGUUAUUUUAAUGUAAAAUAUUUUAGCUUUGUCCCCUAUUUUUUUAAUUUUAUCUUGGCUCUUCAUCACAUAAUUCAUGACUUCGCUUGAUACCAUGAGACUGAAUGUUAAUAUUUUAAGUAUUCAAACUUCGGAUCGUUUAUGAACAAAGUUUCGAAAGAAAGAUGAUGGAAUAUUGACCUUGUAGCUGUAUAAGAACUAGAAAGUAAUAUUAUAAAAAGAUUGGAGAUUAUAAGUUAAACACUUUGAAUUAUCGAAAAGUUGUUGCAGGAAGUUCGGUAGUUCGAUCCCCUUAGCUUACCUUCAAAGAUACUUCACCAAUUUAGACCUCGAAAUCCCUACACUGUCGGAUUCGUUUUGAAAGGAGUAUGUGAAAUCCAUUAUACUCAAGAGCUCUCGAAGGGGCCGUGCAAAGAGGCUUCGAAAAAAAAUUGCAUGAAGUUCUUUUAUUUUAUAUAAAAAAUUUGAACUAAUAAAAAAUUGAUUUCAAAUUAUUUCUAUUUUUAUUUUUUAAUUUUUAGUGUAAAUAUUGAUUUUUGUGUAAUUUUUUGUAAUUCAAUUGUUAAAGUAUGUAGUUUGAUACAUAAUUAUUGUUGUUAAUUUAUGAUAGCUAUGAAUGGGAUGCAUUGAGUUUGAAAUAUUUUAAGUAAAUUAUCAAAUUUUAUAAUAUUAGUUAAAAUUAAAAUAAUAUAUAUUUACUCUCUUUUUUUCUCUUUCUAUCUUGAUUAAUUUGUGGACUAGGUAAUGAAUCUUGGUGUCCGAUUAUGUUUGAUAAUAUCUGUUUUUUUUAUACAAUUUAUAGAGGUACCUGUAGCCCCUCUUAAGCCAUAAGUAGAAGGAUAAUAUGCUUCAGCACACAAAAACUUACGUCUUCCUGCAUUGGCAAUUGAGUUAAGACUCCAUCGGUAAAAUUUUAAAGAAAACAAAAUAAAUAAAAACUAAUCCCCCAAUUUACCGUCCACAGUAGUUCCGACAUUAUUAUAUAAUCUUCAAUUCUUUAUAAUCUAUACUAUAUAUGUAGAAUACAGACACGUGCAGCAUGUAAUAAAGCAAACCAUGAUGAUGACCCAAAUUUUAUGUGAAAAUAUUAAACCAAGUAAGCAUCAUAAGCAACAAUCCUAUCCAUGAUCAUGGCCACACUAUCUUUGGACUCCUUUAACACCUUGAUGAUGUUUUUAAGCUUCUCACGCUUUGCAACAAUGGCAGGAGAUUCCACCAGCAUCAUCUUUAUCCCAUGUCCAUCCGGUCCCAUCAGCUUCUUCACAAUCUCAUCAAUGUCAUUGUGUACAAGAUUAUGAACAUGGUAUCGUAAAUGCAAUGCCAUGGAAUCGACCAAUCUCACCUUAAAUAUCUUCCAAUUGUUAGUACAAAACUCCGGUAAGGAAAAAUCUCGAACACACGAUCAGAACUCGAAAAGAAAAGAAGAAAUAGGACAAGGCUCCAAGGCGUGUAUCAAGGCACUAUCUUUAAGGUUAUAUUCGCCCCCACUUAUCUUCAGUGUGCAAAUGAGUUCCAAGCAAAUUAACCUCGAGGAUUCAAUGAAGCCAAUGACUAUUUGCGUUUUGCACUGACGAGAAUAGUCCACUAUGCACUGAGUAAUCUAUAACAAAAACUCAAUUUCUACAAAGGAUUUCUGCAGUAAUACUUUAUAGAAUAAUCUAAUAAUAUUAGAAAAUGAAGGAAUAGAAAAAAUAAUAUUAGAAUUUGUUGAUCUUUCCAAAUGAAAACUCAUUCCUAUUUAUAGGAAUUUUCUUGUCUCUUCAUAGAGACAUCUUUCAAUAGGUGUCUUUAUGAAUAAAUAAAUAAUAAUUAUUCAUUUAAUUUUAUAACUAUUCAAAUAAUAUUUUUUGAAUAAUUAUAAUUCUUUUUUUAAAAAAAAUCAAAUGAUAUAACUUUUGACCAAUGACCAAAAGAUUUAUCUUUUGAUUAAUUACACCCAUUCAUUUAUAGUUAUUGGAAUACUAUAAAUAUUUGAAAAUGUUCAACACCAAUAAGCAACCAUUCUCAUCUUCAGGUCGAAAGCUUGUUGCAGGAUAGAAACAUUCCAGUGUUGUCUGAGAUGUUCGAUUUGGAUUUCCCCGAAACCUUGGAGAUUCACACUGCAAGGCAGCGGCCACAUGUUUGUUCCAGAUAUUUGGUUUAUGAAAUGAUCUUGCUGGUUCAUGAACUUAUUCCACUCCAUCAUGUAAUCAGGGUUACAUGUAUAGCCUGUUAGCUUCUCAAUUUCUACAAUCUCUUUCACCCUAUUGAUUGAUUCCUCCCUCAGCUUUUGAACAAGGUUGUGAGCAGCUCCUUUAGCGAAUACCUUGAGGUGAUAAUACAUUUCCCACUGGCGCGUCAAAACAGACAUCACCACAUCGUCUAUGUAAUCCCAAUACUUUUCGCUGAAUUUGAUAGGGAGAUACGAUAUCCUCUCGACUUUUCUCCGUAAGAUACCAAGAAAUGCUUCACAGGGAUGGAAGUUCCGUAGUUCGAUCCCCUUAGCAUCUUCCAAACCCUUGAUCUCUUCUGUCAAAAAGUCUUUUGAUAGAUUACUUUCCUCGCAGUUGUGAAGCUCAUCGGACAACCGGUUCAGCAUUUCGACAAACCGAGCAGACCCGUGCUUCAUGUUGCCCUCGGGGUAUUCAUCAAAUUCCCCCCCCCCCCCAAAGAAGUUUCUUGAGGGAUUCUUUAGCUGCUUGAAUGAUUCUCAUCAUAGCUUGAGUGGCAUCAGCAAUAGAAGUUAAGGCCUUUUGCAUUUUCUCUAGCUCUGAAACAUUUGCAUCCAGCUUUGCACUAAUGUUUUUAACAAUCUCUGGCAAGCACUUUGCAAUUGCAUUAGCUUGAAUUUGAACAAGCUUUUGAGCCAAAACAUGAACACCCACAAUUGAUUUAUCAAUACAUGACAAAUGAGCAUUAGUUUCGAAAAAUCUAGCCUCUUCCUUCCUUGCUUCUUCAUAGUAUUCAUCACCAAUCCGAUUCCGAACACAAACAUAACCAAGUCCUAUAUUCACAUCAUCUGCAGUAACCUUGUCAACAAGCCCUUCGGGGGCCCUAUCUACUUUAGUAACCACAGCAAAAGUUCUCUCACCAUUCUUGUCCACUUGUUGCGACAUCCUAAUGGAUUCACAAGUUGAAAAAUCAACCGUAGCCGACAGAACAUUAAGGAUAAUGCUUUCCUUUGGUGUUAUGUACUGCAUGAUGAUGACCCGGAUCUGCUUAUAUAUGUUGUCAGGCUGACCAUGGACAGGAACUCUGAUAAUUCCAGGAAGAUCAACCACGGUAAGAUCAGGAACCCCAUCUUUCCUCACCACCAAAGUCAAAGGGAUGUCAGAUAUGCUCUUACCCGGGCCUGCAACCUCAUCAGUUGCAAUGUUUAUGGCUGUUGCAAUCUGGGGUUCCUCCACUGGGACCAUUUUGCCAUUGUACUCCAAGUAGAGCUCUGGCCUUGGCCUUGCAUGGUUCUGCGACCUGAUUAUGAGAGGUACCCUGGUGCAAAUUCCCUGGCUACGAGGAAGGUUAACACCAGCCAAGGAUUCAAGAACACUAGACUUGCCAGAUGACUGGUCUCCAACCACAACAAUUGCGGGGAGCUGUAUGCCUUCUUUCAUCACCAUGAGCAGCUUGAGCCUGUCGAUGACAUCAAGCAAAGGUCGGAUUUUGUCAUUGAAUGAUGAAAUAAUUGGGGCUUGAGCUGCUGCUGCUCCCACCACCUUAGGUUGUUUCAUAGGAGGUGUUGCUGGUUGAGAAUCUUCAUAAUCAUUGAUGACACCAAUGCUUCCUGAAUCCGCUUCAUCAUAGCUACCCAUUUUUUAGAAGUCGAGACAGGAUUGGAAUUGGCCAAACUUGAUGUUUUUGAUGGUUUUU
rnacentral:lncRNA from 1 species